UGGGGAAUAUUGCACAAUGGGGGAAACCCUGAUGCAGCGACGCCGCGUGAACGAAGAAGGUUUUCGUAUCGUAAAGUUCUGUCCUAUGGGAAGAUAAUGACAGUACCAUAGAAGAAAGCUCCGGCUAAAUACGUGCCAGCAGCCGCGGUAAUACGUAUGGAGCGAGCGUUGUCCGGAAUUAUUGGGCGUAAAGGGUACGCAGGCGGUUUAAUAAGUCGAAUGUUAAAGAUCGGGGCUCAACCCCGCAAAGCAUUGGAAACUGAUAAACUUGAGUAGUGGAGAGGAAAGUGGAAUUCCUAGUGUAGUGGUGAAAUACGUAGAUAUUAGGAGGAAUACCAGUAGCGAAGGCGACGUUCUGGACAAAAACUGACGCUGAGGUACGAAAGCGUGGGGAGCAAACAGG
rnacentral:rRNA from 1 species